rnacentral:tRNA from 1 species
GCUCCAGUGGCGCAACCGGUUAGCGCGCGGUACUUAUAAUGCCGAGGUUGUGAGUUCGAACCUCACCUGGAGCA